GACGAACGCUGGCGGCGUGCUUAACACAUGCAAGUCGAACGGAAAGGCCCUGCUUGCAGGGUGCUCGAGUGGCGAACGGGUGAGUAACACGUGGGUGAUCUGCCCCUUACUUUGGGAUAAGCCUGGGAAACUGGGUCUAAUACUGGAUAGGACCAUGCUGUUGGUGGUGUGGUGGAAAGAUUAGUUUCGGUAAGGGAUGAGCGUGCGGCCGAUCAGCUUGUUGGUGGGGUAAUGGCCGACCAAGGCGUCGACGGGUAGCCGGCCGGAGAGGGUGGACGGCCACAUUGGGACUGAGAUACGGCCCAGACGCCUACGGGAGGCAGCAGUGGGGAAUAUUGCACAAUGGGCGCAAGCCUGAUGCAGCGACGCCGCGUGGGGGAUGACGGCCUUCGGUUGGUAAACUCCUUUCAGCCAUGACGAAGCCCUUGUGGUGACGGUAGUGGUAGAAGAAGCACCGGCUAACUACGUG
rnacentral:rRNA from 1 species